CAGCCGCCACGGGAAUACGGAGGGGGCUAGCGUUGUUCGGAAUUACUGGGCGUAAAGCGUACGUAGGCGGCUUUGUAAGUUAGAGGUGAAAGCCUGGUGCUCAACACCAGAACUGCCUUUAAGACUGCAUCGCUUGAACGUCGGAGAGGUGAGUGGAAUUCCGAGUGUAGAGGUGAAAUUCGUAGAUAUUCGGAAGAACACCAGUGGCGAAGGCGGCUCACUGGACGACUGUUGACGCUGAGGUACGAAAGCGUGGGGAGCAAACAGGAUUAGAUACCCGAGUAGUCCCUGUCUCUUAUAC
rnacentral:rRNA from 1 species